GACGAACGCUGGCGGCGUGCUUAACACAUGCAAGUCGAGCGGUAAGGCCCUUUCGGGGGUACGACGAGCGGCGAACGGGUGAGUAACACGUGGGUGACCUGCCCUCAGCUCUGGGAGUAAGCCUGGGAAACCGGGUCUAAUACUGGAUAUGACUCCAUGACGCAUGUUGUGGGGUGGAAAGCCUUGUGCGGCUGAGGAUGGGCCCGCGGCCUAUCAGCUUGUUGGUGGGGUGANGGCCUACCAAGGCGACGACGGGUAGCCGGCCUGAGAGGGCGACCGGCCACACUGGGACUGAGACACGGCCCAGACUCCUACGGGAGGCAGCAGUGGGGAAUCUUGCGCAAUGGGCGAGAGCCUGACGCAGCGACGCCGCGUGAGGGAUGACGGCCUCGGUU
rnacentral:rRNA from 1 species